UCUUGGUUAGCUCAUUUGGUACAGCGCUCCACUGAAAAUGGAGAGGUCCCUGAUUCGAUAACAGGACCAGGUG
rfam:Ixodes scapularis strain Wikel colony gcontig_1107728722360, whole genome shotgun sequence.